AGGAAAUCACCGUUAAAUUUUCACACAAUCAUGUUCUAUCCUAACUUUCUUACUUGUCACAUCAAUUUCCCAAACCAAUAAGACACUUUAACAGGACUAUAACUUUCUAAUUUGUAUUCCAGUUGAUAAAGUUUGGGUGUCUCCUCUAAAUCUCACGUUCAGAUACAAUCCUCGGUGUUGGAGUUGGGGCCUAGUGGGAGGUGUGUGAAUCAUGGGGGCAUAAUCCCUCAUGAAUGGCCUACCAACAUUUCCUUGGUGAUGAGUGAGUUUACACAAGAUCUAGUUGUUUAAAAAUGUGUGGUACAUCCCCCCUUCUCUCUUGCUCCAGCUCUGGCCAUGUGACAUACCUCCUCCCGCUUCACCUUUCACCAUGCAUGAAAGCUCCCUGAGGCCGACUCUGAAGCUGAGCAGUUGCUACUGAUAGCACCAUGCUUGUACAACCGGCAGAACCCAACAAUUCUGCCUGAGCAAAGACUGGAUUUUGAGCUCUCAGUCCAUUUAUGACAAAAUGGACUCCUGGGAAACCCCCAGAAAGACUCUGGCUCCUUUGCUUCUAUCUUUUUCCACCGGAGAAAAGCCUAGUCCUCUGGGGUCCUCUGUGACAUUUGGCAACUCCGCUCUGUUGGACCUGGAUUUCUUCUGACAUUCUCUGGUCUUCUUGAUCUCAGCUGGAUCUGGAGCUCUCUAAGAUGAAAUUGUAGCUGACAAUGACUUUCCUUAUAAGUCUAUAGUAAGCUUAAUAUAAGCCUAAUAAAGCUCAUAAAGUGCUUUCUAUAUUAAGCACCUAUUCUUUGUAUUGCUUACCCUUCUCUUUUCCUAAUUUACUACCUGAUUUUAUGAAGCCCAUAUGUGGUUGGCAAAAUUAUUUGAAGGCCUCGAAGAUUCCUGACCCUUUAUUCCUGUUAUUUAUCUUGUCCCAGUUAUUCAAUCAAAUUUGAAUCUAGGUACUGCUGUGAAAGGAUAUGACAGAUAUAUUUAAGUGUUUAAAUCAGUUGAUCUUAAGAUAGGGAGAUUAUCUGGGUAUGUCAGGCCUAAUUACAAAAGCCCUUUAAAAUCAGAGCCUUUUCUCCAGCUGAUCA
rnacentral:lncRNA from 1 species